CAUAUGUCUACAAGUCCCCGCCUCCUCUUUCCCCAUCACCUCCUCCACCCUACAUUUAUAAGUCACCACCACCACCCUCACCCUCACCUCCACCUCCAUAUCAUUACAAGUCCCCACCUCCACCUUCCCCGUCACCACCACCUCCAUAUGUCUACAAGUCUCCCCCUCCACCAUCUCCUUCACCUCCUCCUCCCCAUACUCACUCUCCUCCCCCACACUACUACAAAUCCCCUCCACCUCCUCGCCACUACAAGUCCCCUCCACCUCCUCGCCACUACAAGUCCCCUCCACCACCACAUCCUCGCCACUACAAGUCCCCUCCACCUCCACCUCCACCUCCUCGCCACUACAAGUCCCCUCCACCUCCUCGCCACUACUAAGCCUAUUUACGGCUACAGUUACAUAAAACAACUUGAAUUUUCAUAUCUACCAUGUAAUAUCAUAUCUAUUGUAAAGCAUAACUCGGUGUAUUACUUAUUUAAAUAAAUAAAAGCGAAGCAAAUGAUUAAU
rnacentral:lncRNA from 1 species